rnacentral:lncRNA from 1 species
UUUCUCAAGGUUUUCACUUUUUUCCUCAAAUGUUUCUCUGAUUUCAGAUAGUUUCUUUAUUUUUCAAACUGGGGUUUCAAAACCCUUUUUGCAAAAAAAUGAUUUCUUCUUGAUUACUGUGAUUUUUAGCAUGUCUAAACAUUAUCUAAGUCUUUCCUUUUGGAUCGAUUCAUUUUUGUCAAGAAACCCUAAUACUUCUGGGUUCGAUUGGAAGUUUGAAUUUGUUUGCAUGACUAUCAUGAACAUUCUGGGCUUUAUGUGUGUUCUAUAUGCUCGCGUGCUUCUCGUUUUGAUUUAUUCUUAAGGUUUCUUUGAUUUUGUCCGAAACUGUGUUAUUUAUAGGUCCGACCAUUUGUUUUACUAAUUGCUCACACAAUUUAUGGUGAUUCUGUAUGAUCUCCUUAUACCUAUACCUUUGAUUCUGUGCAUUUUCCUUGUAACUCUAUACUGAUUUUAGAAAUUGCUUCCUUACUCUUGUGAUACUUUCCUUAGUUAGUACUGAUUCCCUAUGAUUUUCAAUCUCAUCCGUGAUUCUUUGAUCUAAUUUUCAGAAUCAAAUUGUACUCUACCCUGUUUAUGUGCACAAUAUAUUGUUAUUAUACUUUCCUUACUUGAAAAUAUUCUGUACUUAGUCCCUAUUACAUGCAACAUGCUUUUGCAAUUCCUAUUAUGGUAAAAUCAGUCUUACAAACAAUUAUUUUCCUUAUUUGAUACAACUUAUACCCGUUUGAACUAUGACUCCUUAAUUGAAGGGAGUCCGGGUCUUUAAUUGAUUCUAAUUUGCAUUAUUUCUAUAAUUAUAAUAAGUCAGUACUUGUUACCUUAUUUUCUUGCCUAUUUUCAAAACUAUAAAUACUCUACCCUCUUUUCUUUAAAGACACGAACAACUAGCUCAGAACACGCACAUACACAUUCAAACUCUCCUUUCUUUCUCUACUAUUUAUUCUAUUGCUUUGUCUAGCCGGCUGAAAGCCAAGGCUAGACUGUGGAACUUUGAUUGCUUUACUUUUUUGCACUUUGCUCCUUCAACUGGUAUGUUCUUAGUUUAAAUUCUGAAACUCAACUCUAUGUGUUCCCUUGUUUGUCAAUCCUUGUCUUUUUCUGCACCAACUUAAUGGCUCAUGUUGUUAAAUUAUACUUUUUGUUAGCUGUUUUACUCAGCAUGUAUAAAAUUCUGCCCUCCUUUGUUCAAAUGUGAUCAACAUGUUUACUUGUUCCUCUUUAUGUCCCUCAACUAGCAUGUCUCCUAAUGUACCUAAUUCAUAACUAAUUAUGUGUUUCUGAUUUGGGUCCUCUAUGUCCCCAGCCCCUACUCCCCUGUUUGUAACUACUGAAGCUGUACUACUCUCUAAACUUAUUCUGUGUGUGUUGUUGUUGCUCCCAUCCCCUCUGUUGUUUUACAAACUCAUUUCAAACGCUGAUUUCAAAACUAUUUUCCAACUCAACUCCUUUGAGUCUAUGUCAAGCACUCUCAUAUGCACUCUUAGACUACUAGGUUCUGCCCCUCUUAUGUGAGCCUUGCCUUAGGACCCUAGAGCUCCCACUGAACUUGGACACAUAAGAGCUGGCCCUUCCACACUGCACUCACUCUGUUUGGUUAUGCAAUCUGGGUGUGAGCACUGCCCGAGAUCCCUUGAGGUCCUUAGGGAACUCUGACACUCCCAGAUAUAGGUAUGGAACAAUAUUGGUAUUUGAGGUGGUUUAUUACAUAACUCACAGAGGAAGUCAGAAUCAGGCUUCCUAUAGUUGUAACUUCUUAUUUUUCAUUUCAUCUUUUAUGCAAUUCUAUCACAUGGUCUAUAAUAAUUUGUAAACAAUUAUUGGGGUGGCUAGUGAAAAGGGAUAGGGUAAAUAUGCAUGCCAUUUUUUGUUAAGGGUAGAAAACAUGUUAUUAGGUUUAUAUUCCUAAUUGUGCAUAGAAAGCAUGCUUAGGAUUCAUACGAUGCAUUAGAAAUCAUGUUCUUAGGACUUAUGUUUCUUGCUUCAGCACCUCACUCAUUGAUCCAUGCUCUUUGUCUAUGCAUUUAGAAAUCAUAUUCUUAGGGAAAUUGUGCAAUCCUGCCAUGUACAUUUUGAAAUCCUGCUCUUAGGAAAUUCUGCAACCCUGCCAUAUGCAUUUAGAAAUUCUGCUCUUAGGAAAUUCUGCAAUCCUACCAUAUGCAUUUAGAAAUCCUGCUCUUAGAAAUUCUAUGUCAUGAGUUUUAUACAUGCACCUUAGACACUAUGUUCUAGGAUCUUAUUUGCACUUGCAUUCACACUUAGUGUAAAUUGCUGAUUAUAAAAGAAGUAAAAAACAGCUUUACACUUGAUUAUCCCGUUUAAAAUAACUAGUAAAAAUCUCUGCACUUGAUUAGAAUAGCAUGCUCUUAGGGUAAAAUAAGCUCCAAACCAUCUUUUAAUAAUUCUGAAUAACUGCUGUAUCUCGUUUUGCGCCUAGGCAAGCCUUAGGUAAUGACUUAAGUAAAAAAAGAAUUGCCUUUGUUUAAUUAUAAACUGUUAAAAUCAGUAGGCAAACAUGAUUCAGACUUCUUUUCUUAGUCACGUAAUAAAUCUGGUUAUGACGUUACAACUUAAACACCCUGCUUUAUGAUUUUAAAUUUAGUCCUUAGUUGUGUAUGAGUCAUGUUGUCUAUGUGCAUUGCUUGUGGAGGCAUAUCUGAUCCUUCUGCUUGUUUUCUGUGUUUUCCCUCCUUUAAAUGCAGUCCUACUUGUUUUGUAUGUCGCCUUAGUACUUUGCCUUUGAGCUUGUGGAACUGCCUAGAACCUCUUUAUAGGAUAGGUGUCCUAAAUUCUUCCGGGAUUGAUAGGAAGGGAUGGGUAACAGCAUGCAAUAAGAGUCGAGACCAACCUUCACUUAAUUACCUUUAUGGGGCCCGAAAGGGUAAAUAUGGAUAAGAUGACCGAUGCGCUAAUACCACAUGUAUCCCCUCUUUUGAGGAGUGUCAUACCGGGUAUUGCAUUGAUGUGAUCAAUAUUACAAACAAACCUAGGACAGCCCUUUACAUUCAUAAGCAUGCUUAGAUUGUAACUCUUUUUAAAACCUUGCUUUCAUUAAUCGCUUUCAAACACUUGUUUACUUAAAUCCCCUAUUAUUUGAGCCAUACUUGUCUAUUUGCUAAUGAUACAAAUUCACAAAAAUUGUCUGGUCGGGAACCACACUAGUGGAUCCUGAGGGGUGCCUAACACCUUCUCUUUAGGAUAAUUUCAAGCCCUUACUCUAUCUCUGGUUAUCAAACGUAGUUGUAGAUGAACCUUGUAGGUGCCCUAAUGUACCUUAAAAUCGUUAGGUGGCAACUCUUCAAAAAUUCAAACCUCGUUCCCAAAAGGAAUGAGUUGUCCCAUACCCAAAAUGUCAUGAACCUUAUUUAUGCGGAAGGGGAAAAAAGGGGCGCGAUAGCAUGGCGACUCUGCUNNNNNNNNNNNNNNNNNNNNNNNNNUUUUUAGGCUUUUACCAUUUCAGAUUGUUCUUGUGAAUUUGUACCUCCCUAUGUGCAAUUACUUGUUUAAUUUCUUUAAGCAUUUGAUUUCUUCUUCAAAAGCGAAACUGACAUAUCUUUCUUGUUUCCUUCCUUUACUGUCGCUUUAUAUUAUAAAAACUGCUAUAUUUAUCGCUUUCUUAACAUGCAAAUACAUGACAAUGUGCUUUUAAUUAUUGCAUAAUCAUGCUCAACCUCAUACUCCACUUGUGCCAAACAAAUACCAUAGCAACGCUUGAUGAGUGGUUGCGCUCUUCCUAUAUCAUUACCCCUAAAUUCGGAAAGGCAUAUUUGCAGUAAAACUAGUCGAUCAGCGGUGCAGUCGACAGUUCCGUGCCUUACCCUUUGAGUUGUCCGCUCAAAGGUACCAGUCUAAAACCCCAUAGAAACCUUACUCUGUUAAAUUAUGCAUGCAUCAUAGUCAAACCUAGCUGGGUCAGUUAUGUUGUCCACGUAAUGAUCCUUUAAGAUAGCCUUGUCCAAAGUCCAUUGGGUUUCCCUAAACCCAAACGGACAUCGUCACGUUCUGUGCAUUUAUUUGGAGAACUAAAUGCUUCAUGCUAAUUAUUGAUAUUAAAUAGUCGAGUCUGGUGGGGGUAAGGUCCUAACCUUGUUUUUCUUGUAGAAAUCUGAGGAACAAGGUCCUAGCUUCGGUAUGGUUAGCACACCCCCUCUCUUGCUAGAUUGAUAGAGGAGUCUUCCGUCAAAUGACCAAAUCAAUGAGUGGAAAAAGAGGGCCACCAAAGCUAGCGAAAAGCUGGAGUAUCUGGAAUACAGCCUGUUGGAAUUGGAAGGAAAGGUGAGGAAGAGAGUCACUGAUUGCCAGAACGCCAAGGGAAAUGAAGGAGAACAUUUGGAAAAGGCAUUUUUACUGGUGAACCUAUGCGAACUGGAGGAUUUGAUCAACGAGAACAUUCAACAUGAGGAUGGUCCUUCUAGGACCAAGUAGAUAGGAGUUUACCUUUUUCGCUUUAUAGAUGUAAUAAGGCCAAUGGCCAUUAGUGACUUUUGUUUCUUGCUUAUUUAGUGUCGUUUCGGGAUUCGCCUAUCUUUAUCAAUAAAAUGAG